GUUUAUAUCCCACUUGCAGGAGGAGGUUUGUUCCUCAAAACGUGACUCGUGAUAUUAUAUCUAGGGUGAUCACGAGGAUCUAUUCCAGCUGAAAAGUGGAAAAAUUAUCCGAUUGAAGCAAAGAAUGAGUUAUUUAAGGAUUUUAUGGAUAAAUAUAAAUUCACAGCCGAUUAUGAUCGUAAUAUGGCAAGAACUGUAUGGGAAAUAACAUGCUUGGAUCGGUAUCCCGAUCACUUAAAAAAUGCAAGAAAAAUAGCUUUACGAGAAGUGAACUCAACGAAUUUGGUUGACACUAAGGGUCAUGGUCCGAAAGGAAUGAAGGCACGGUUUGGUUGACAUUUGGUUGAAACCAGAGUAGAAGAAGAAAUCUGAUGCAAAUCGUUGUAACAGGGCUGUCUUACCGGAUGCGGUGUUGCACACAGGAGGUUCAAUAAACUUAGGUGAACAUAAGAAAAGGAUGGAGGAGUUAAAACAUACAGUUUCGAUUAGAGACGUGUAUGCUCGAGUUCAUAAGAAAAAAGAUGGAGAAUAUGUCUCUCAACGGUCAAAGUUAUUUGUUUCAUAUGACACGGCUAUAUUGGAAAAGUAUGGAGAAGACUCUUCCACUCAUCCGAUGAUUGAUUCUAAAGUGUGGGUAGAAGUAUCUGGACAGAAAAAGACAAGGCAUAUAUUUAUGGAUCGUAGCUUAGAUGUCAGAAGAACUAUGUCUGUCCCAUUUGUUGAUGUCACUAGUCAUUCCAGAACCAUAGAGGAAGAUAUCAAGAAAGUUGUGGAUAAGGCAAUGACUUCUUUUGUCCAAACAAAUUUGGCGCCAAUGUUGGAGCCAAUUCUUUUAUUGAUUCAAUCCAUGCCAAAAGCACCCAUGCAAAGUGAAGUGCCUGAAAUCUAUUUUGGAAACCAGAGUUAAUAUGAAACCUGAGUUGUGAUUUCUGAAUUGGAAAUAAAAUAGAUUAUUAUUGUAAUGUAUAAUGUUUUAGUAUUGUUAAAUAUAUUAAAAAAUUGAUUUUAGAAUAUUAUUGUGAUGUUUAUUGUUUCA